GGGGGUAUAGGAUAAUGGUAGUCCUGUGUCUUUGCAAGACAUCUGUUCUCGUUCGACUCGAGAUAUCUCCA
rnacentral:tRNA from 4 species